ensembl:lncRNA
CGCACAGUAUUGUUUGAAUGUAAUGGUGAAUGUCUUACGCAUGCUAAGCGGUCUUCUUUUCGUGUCCUGUUCUGUUCCCUGCCUCGCAUCCAGUUUCUUGUUUUAACCUCGUUAAUCUUGCUCAGUAUAGACCGCGUUUCCUGUUUUUCGUCUGCUGUGUAAAAAUAAAGACGUUGAUCUGCACCUGCUCCCGCCUCACCUCCCUGUAUCGUAAGACAAACAGCAUAGCAGCAAUAUGUGAUUGCUCGACAUGACUGAAAAGUUCAUCAUGCAGAGGGUGUAUGGGUGUUCUAUUGCUUAAAGAGACAGACCUCUGAGAUGGCGAUAUCUCCUUGGAGUGUUUUGACUGAAUAUGUAUCGAGUGCCAGCCCAACUCAGUCACUCAGUCAGUCAGGCAAGACAAGGCCGUUAGGUGGCAGUUGUGUCACAUUCUUUGAGCAAACACUGAUUUUUUAAGGUGUACUGAACAUGAGAUGACUGUGGAUGCCAUUAUGUAAAGAGGCAUUUAUAAUUUUGGAUGGAGCACACAUUUAUCAUUUUAUCUUACAUGCUACAUAUAAUGUAACUGCUAGGCGUAAGGACUAGGAGAACCCUACGCUCUGCGUGAUGUCUAUUUACAUUAUAUUGAGCAGUUAAAUGAAUGAAUUAAUCUCGAUUAACAAUGUGUUAUUUAAAAGCUAAGGCCCUGAUAUUUGACCAAUGCUUUAUUAUUGAAAUGUUAUAGGAACAGUCAUUUUAUAAUUUCAUUGAACAGUAAUAGAGGCCAGCUGGUUCGUCACUCCCCUGGCCUCAAGAGAUGCACUAGCGAUCAUUUUGAGAAUAACACAUAUUAAUGGUAGAAAAACAGCAUGAUUAUCACAAAGAUAGAAAGCCAAGCCAGCAUCUUAAUCAAUGCAAUAAAAGGAUGUUGAAGAUUUUGUUAAAUCUGACUUCAGGAUUGGGUUCAGCAACAAAAAAAAUUAUUUGUCUUUCUGAAGAAGACGAAUCCUGCUACUUUUCUUUCACCAGAUACUGUUUUGACAGAUGGAUCUCACCUUUAAAUAAUAGGUCCCUUCCCUUUAAGUUUUUUGGCCACUACAGAGUCCU